rfam:Candidatus Gottesmanbacteria bacterium RIFCSPLOWO2_01_FTLL_43_11b rifcsplowo2_01_scaffold_30, whole genome shotgun sequence.
GCCCCUGUAGCUUAACGGAUAAAGCAGGUGUGUUCUAAACACAAGACUGGGGGUUCGAUUCCCUCCAGGGGCG